rnacentral:pre_miRNA from 1 species
AAUACAUUCAGACCGUCGGUUUACUGAAUAACUUUACCCGCUCAGUGGAAGAUCUCUCCUUUGUUGU